UGGGGAAUAUUGCGCAAUGGGCGAAAGCCUGACGCAGCGACGCCGCGUGAGGGAUGAAGGUUUUCGGAUCGUAAACCUCUGUCAGAAGGGAAGAAACCGCACUGUGCUAAUCAGCAGUGCCUUGACGGUAGCUUCAAAGGAAGCACCGGCUAACUCCGUGCCAGCAGCCGCGGUAAUACGGAGGGUGCAAGCGUUAAUCGGAAUUACUGGGCGUAAAGCGCACGUAGGCUGCUUUGUAAGUCAGGGGUGAAAUCCCACGGCUCAACCGUGGAACUGCCUUUGAUACUGCUUAGCUUGAAUCCGGGAGAGGGUGGCGGAAAUCCAGGUGUAGGAGUGAAAUCCGUAGAUAUCUGGAGGAACAUCAGUGGCGAAGGCGGCCACCUGGACCGGUAUUGACGCUGAGGUGCGAAAGCGUGGGGAGCAAACAGG
rnacentral:rRNA from 1 species